rnacentral:misc_RNA from 1 species
CUAUGAAGGAAGUCUUAACUUUGCCGAGCAUUGGGAUCAAUCCCCAGUUCAUCACUUUUACAAAUGUCACAAUGGAAUCGGACAAGUAUAUAUGUGUACGGGAAACGGCUCCGCAGAAUAGUGUUGUGAUUGUGGAUAUGAAUAUGCCAAUGCAGCCAUUGAGGCGGCCUAUUACUGCAGACUCGUCGCUCAUGAAUCCAAAUUCUAGAAUCCUUGCC